UCAACUCAACUCAACUAAGCCUUUAUCUCAAAAAUACAAAAGAAAUAUCAUCAUUAAAAUAAAUUAAAUGCAAUUAGAAACUCAGCUGCUAACUACAAAGCAAAUACCUUCAACACCUCGUCAAAGAAUUCAUUCUGCGUUUGUUUUUUCCCUGGUCUUUUCAGUUAAUGCUGCCUCCUAUUAAACUCAUCGCCAAAGCCU
rnacentral:misc_RNA from 1 species